CGGGCCUAACACAUGCAAGUCGAACGCGAAAGGUCUUCGGACUGAGUAGAGUGGCGCACGGGUGAGUAACACGUAGGUAAUCUACCCUUUGGCGGGGGAUAACGUUCCGAAAGGAGCGCUAAUACCGCAUAAGACCACGGAGUCUCCGGACGCUGUGGGAAAAGGUGGCCUCUUCUUGAAAGCUACCACCGAAGGAUGAGCCUGCGUCCCAUCAGCUAGUUGGUAAGGUAAUGGCUUACCAAGGCGAAGACGGGUAGCUGGUUUGAGAGAAUGAUCAGCCACACUGGCACUGGAACACGGGCCAGACUCCUACGGGAGGCAGCAGUGAGGAAUAUUGGGCAAUGGGCGAAAGCCUGACCCAGCCACGCCGCGUGAGUGAUGAAGGCCUUCGGGUUGUAAACUCCUGUCACGAGUUAAGAAAGGAAUGCCGCGAAUAGCGGUAGGCCCUGACGUAAGCUCGAGAGGAAGCACUGGCUAACUCUGUG
rnacentral:rRNA from 1 species